UGUGGCGAGUGAAAGGUGUAUGGUGAUGAUGGUGAUAACAAUGGUGAAAGUCUAAUUCUACUUUUGCUCUUUUAAGAGGAUACAUACCUUUCUUGCACUUUGAAGCCUUUUUUAGGAGAAUGAGAUGCUCUAUAUAUUUUUUUUUCUUUUCUCUCAGGUGGGUAUCUUGUACCCCUAAUUCUACUAUCGGAAAAAUAGAAAUAGGAGAAUGUUUUUGGCUAUUCUCUACCGGAUUAGGAGUAGAAUACUUUUGGGUGGCUCUAGAGAUGGAAAUGAGUGGAUAUAUGUGGAUGCAUACUUCCAGAGUAGAGGCAACAUGUGUGAGUAAACGUGCAAGUGAAUCUUCAUUUUAACCACAUGACAAGCUCCUAAGGGUCUACAUAGUUUGACCACACUUAAUGCUUAUAAGCAGUAAAAAGUAAAUGUAUGGU
rnacentral:lncRNA from 1 species